GCGAAAGAUCGAUCGCGAUCCCGCAUGCUGUUGCUUUUGGUCGUCUGUGAGUAACAAACGUUUCUUGAUCUCAAAUUUACUUAGGCACGUAUGAUCAAGCCAGGAAUUAAACCAUAUCAAACUCGAUUCUUCUUAGGAAAGGAAUCUAUCAAAACUUGAAACAUAUAUUAUAUUCAUCAAACGUAACUACUAGAAAUUCAAUUAAAUCAACACACGACAGGAUGGGUUUCAAAAUAAGCUUGUUAUUCACACUUGUUAUCUUCAGCGUGUUUAGCACGGUAUACCUGUGUCCAGCAAAAAAAGCCGAGAAACCCCGUUCACGAAAAGAACUAUGUGAUCUUCCAUCUGACUAUGGUAAGCCUAUGGACUGCCUCUAUGACAUGAGCAGGACUGAUAUACAUGAUAAAUUGAGAUUUUGGUUUAAUAAGGAUCAGGAGACAUGUGAAAUGUUUGUAUACGGGGAUUGCGAAGGAAAUGAAAAUAAUUUUGAAACUUGGCUAGAUUGCAUGGGCAAUUGCAGUGAACUAGCAGAACUUUAGAUACACCACACAUAUAACUUUUUGGAAAAUAUAUUGACAUGUAUUUGUAAUAGUUUAAAUAAUUGAGUUUAAAUAGAAGUGCUUAUAUAUAUAUUGAAGACUUUGUGAAGUCUUUAUAAAAUGCUCACAAAAGUGUUUUAUUUUUAAAAUAAAUGACUGUAAUAAAAUAUAAUGUACGAAAUGUACAUAAAAUCUGUAUGUA